ACGAGAUAAACAGUCUCCUGUCUCAAGGUAUCCUAAGCAACAGCCGGGAGGUGAGUGGGUUGCUAGGCGCCGUGGAGGACACCUUGAUGCUCAUCGGGCCACAGCUCAGAGACAACCACACCACCAUGGAAACAGACCACACAGAGCAGAGCUUGCAGUGAGGAGGGGACAGACUCCGCCCAUUGGGCCAAUCAGCCUGGCCAAGACAACGCUCGACUGGACACCAGCUGGGAGACAGCCACCGGCAACGGGACGUACCCAGGUUUCACUCUGGUUGGGUUGGUGUGUUACACGACAGUGGAAAGAUC